rnacentral:rRNA from 1 species
UGGGGAAUCUUGGACAAUGGGCGCAAGCCUGAUCCAGCCAUGCCGCGUGAGUGAUGAAGGCCUUAGGGUUGUAAAGCUCUUUUUGCCGGGGACGAUAAUGACGGUACCCGGAGAAUAAGUCCCGGCUAACUUCGUGCCAGCAGCCGCGGUAAUACGAAGGGGACUAGCGUUGUUCGGAAUCACUGGGCGUAAAGCGCACGUAGGCGGAUUUGUAAGUCAGGGGUGAAAUCCCGGGGCUCAACCUCGGAACUGCCUUUGAUACUGCGGAUCUCGAGUCCGAUAGAGGUGAGUGGAAUUCCUAGUGUAGAGGUGAAAUUCGUAGAUAUUAGGAAGAACACCGGUGGCGAAGGCGGCUAACUGGUCCGGUACUGACGCUGAGGUGCGAAAGCGUGGGGAGCAAACAGGAUUAGAUACCCUUGUAGUCCCUGAGCGGGCUGGCAAGGCGCAU